GACGAACGCUGGCGGCGUGCUUAACACAUGCAAGUCGAACGGAAAGGCCCUGCUUUUGUGGGGUGCUCGAGUGGCGAACGGGUGAGUAACACGUGAGUAACCUGCCCUUGACUUUGGGAUAACUUCAGGAAACUGGGGCUAAUACCGGAUAGGAGCUCCUGCUGCAUGGUGGGGGUUGGAAAGUUUCGGCGGUUGGGGAUGGACUCGCGGCUUAUCAGCUUGUUGGUGGGGUAGUGGCUUACCAAGGCUUUGACGGGUAGCCGGCCUGAGAGGGUGACCGGCCACAUUGGGACUGAGAUACGGCCCAGACUCCUACGGGAGGCAGCAGUGGGGAAUAUUGCACAAUGGGCGGAAGCCAGAUACAGCAACGCCGCGUGCGGGAUGACGGCCUUCGGGUUGUAAACCGCUUUCGCCUGUGACGAAGCGUGAGUGACGGUAAUGGGUAAAGAAGCACCGGCUAACUACGUG
rnacentral:rRNA from 1 species